GACGAACGCUGGCGGCGUGCUUAACACAUGCAAGUCGAACGGAAAGGCCCUGCUUGCAGGGUACUCGAGUGGCGAACGGGUGAGUAACACGUGGGUGAUCUGCCCUGCACUUCGGGAUAUGCCUGGGAAACUGGGUCUAAUACCGGAUAGGAGCCAUUUUGAGUGUGAUGGGUGGAUAGUUUUUUCGGUGUAGGAUGAGCUCGCGGCCUAUCUGCUUGUUGGUGGGGUAAUGGCCUACCAAGGCGGCGACGGGUGGCCGGCCUGAGAGGGUGGACGGCCAAAUUGGGACUGAGAUACGGCCCAGACUCCUACGGGAGGCAGCAGGGGGGAAUAUUGCACAAUGGGCGCAAGCCUGAUGCAGCGACGCCGCGUGGGGGAUGACGGCCUUCGGGUUGUAAACUCCUUUCGCUAGGGACGAAGCUUUUUGUGACGGUACCUAGAUAAGAAGCACCGGCUAACUACGUG
rnacentral:rRNA from 1 species